rnacentral:tRNA from 1 species
GCCCGAGUGGCGAAAUGGUAGACGCAAAGGACUUAAAAUCCUUCGGGCGAAUAACCCAUGCCGGUUCGACUCCGGCCUCGGGCACCA